GGAAGUUAAAAAGAUUGGAUCUAUCAAACACCCAAAUGUUGUUCAUUUACGAGCAUAUUAUUGGGGACCUCGAGAACAAGAGAGGCUUAUUUUAGCAGACUACAUUUCAGGAGAUAGUUUGGCGUUACAUCUCUAUGAGACAACCCCUCGGAGGUACUCCCCGUUAUCCUUCAACCAAAGGUUAAAAGUUGCCAUUGAAGUUGCUCAGGGUUUGGCAUAUCUGCAUGAGAGAGGACUGCCUCAUGGCGACUUGAAACCUACAAAUAUAAUCUUGGUUGGUGCUGAUUACAGUGUCCGCCUCACUGAUUAUGGUCUCCACCACGUGAUGACUCCAGCAG
rnacentral:misc_RNA from 1 species